UGGCGAGUAAGCGAUGGUACGCAGCCCUGAACGAGCUCAAAUAUGCCAAGUACAAGAUGUGCAACGAGAGGCUUAUCUAUCCCAAGGAAGGUCGCGUUGUUUCAAUUAUAAUCCCGACUGAACCUGGGGCUAAAAGUUGGAACAAUACCUUAAAUGAAGGCAAGCUGGAGUCUGACAGAAUUCGAUUUCCUAAAUAUGACGCGAGAAUUGGCGAGAUGGGUCGCGUCGUCUACUACUACCAAAUCAUAGACACUGAUCACAACACAUGGGCGAUUGAACAUACCUGUCGAUAUC
rnacentral:lncRNA from 1 species